AUUAAUAAAAAAUAUAUAUAUAUUAAUAAAUAAAAAGAAAUGCAGAUCCCUUGGGCUCAAUUAUUUUUCAGACACAGCAUUAAAUGGUGCAUUUAAUUAGAGAAUGAAAUCAUUCUCCAGAUAAAGAAGAAUAUUUGAGAUAGGAUUAUGUCAGGCCACUUGCUUUUCCUCACACCUAAAUACCAUCACCGCCUCACCCUUCCACCGCCUCAUCCUUUCACCAAAGUUUAUUCAUCUAAAAAAAAAGAGACAACAGAUGAUCCAUUCCCUUCCCUAUCACUGCAACGAGCCGCAACAAAAAUUCAGGGAGAUCUUUUCUUUUGAAAUCCACGACAGACUUCGAAGGGUGCCAAAUUCCUAGAUCAAUCCUAACUGUGGAAUUGAAAUUUUCCAACUUCAAGAACCUCCCUUUUCAGCCUUGUGAACUCCACAACGUCCUACUCACGGAGGGUAUGUUCGCAAGUAAAGUCGGAACGAAAGAUUCAAGUUAAGGGAACUAAACGAUCAAGAUUACGGAGGAGAAUAAUCUCAUCACGGAGGAGGAUAAUCUUUACAGAAUCUUUAAUUAAAAAAAAUUUAAUUAGUGUUGAUUGAGGACCAAAUCAACAGGGAAAAUAUUUAAUUAGAUUAGUUUAAUUCACAGUCCAUUGUAUUUUAUUUUAAAUUGUGCAGUCCACAAUUUAUUUAUCACGGACUAGAUUAUUUAUCCCAUUUAUUCGAUCCA